GAGAGAGAGAGAGAGAGAGAUUGAUUAAUAAGAAGACUGGAAGAGGAAUAUUGUCGAACACUUUCAAGUAAGUACGUACCUCUCCCACAAAUAAGCGAAUGGGGAUAUAGUAAGGGCGGAGAAGACCUGUCGAUAAGCAACAAGGACAAAAGGGUUCAUUCCUGCGUCUAAGGCGAG